AUCCCGACAACCUAGAUCCGUCCCAGUGUCAGGGCCUCCCCACUGCUGCUCGUCCACGCAGGUCAGCUGGGGGCCCAGACCCAGGCCCAGGGGACAGCCCCAUGGCUCUGGCAGAAGAAAGGGGACUCUGGACACCCUCGCACCAGCCGUGAAACGCUCUGCCCAGGAGGGAAGCCGUCAGCUCUGCUCACAGCUAGCUCACUGGCCUGACUGUCACCUGCUCUGCUCAGCAAGGGGACCUGGAAGUGCCCAGAAGACUGAGAGCCUGAACUGGGAAGGGACAGCCCCAGUGACCAGCACACUGCUCGUCAGCUGUGUGACCACAGGCCAGAUGCUGUCUGGGCCUGCGUUUCCUCCUCUAGGCAAUGGAGAGAAGACGGUCUUCUGCCUCCAGAGCUGCCAUGAGGACCAGCAUGGAGCCUCAGCAACUCAUAAGGCAUCUUUGAGCCAGAGCCCCGGCGGCCUGGCUGAGCCACACGGGGAAGGCCUUUCCGAGCCAAGCGUGGAGCCCAGGUCCUCACACAGCGGCCUCUGUCCUCCCGGCUGAGCGCGCUCAAGGCCCGGCCCCCGCACUACUGUCAUGGGACCAGUGGCUUCACUUCUCUGGACCCAGGGACGGGGUGGGCGGAAGAAGCUAGUUGGUUGAGACCAUGGGAUCUGUCAUCCAGGCCUGGAGCAGUGCCGGGCAGGGAGGCUCCCCUGUACCCUGGCUUCCUCAGGGUGGGCUUCUCAUGGGAGACACCCACCCCACUCUGAACUGAAGGGCAGCCUGAAAUUGGCAAGGCAUCUCAAGUGGCUGGGUGGAGCCACUUAGGCUCUGCUGCAUCAGGACACACGGUGCAGUCACGUGGCCUUUUCCAGUUGGGUUUGGCCAGACCUGGUUUGCCCCCUCCCCUCCCCACGCCCCACAGAAGCAUCAGGACCAGGUCCCGGGGUGGCUUAAGGGCUCUGGAUGGGUGGCAUGAACAGCUACAGCUCUCAGCAUAGAAAGAGCGGUGAGACCCCAUCACCUUGGGUGCAUUUUCAAUGAAAGUAACUUGAUUCAAACAACAGCAUAAGUAUUGUUGAACUGAACUGAUCAUUUACUAAUCAUAAGCAUUUAAAGGCUCUUGUUAUUUAGUCGCUCAGUUGUGUCCGAUUCUUUGUGACCCCAUGGACUGUAGUCUGCCAGGCUCCUUUGUCCAUGGAAUUUUCCAGGCAAGGUGUACCAUGUCAAGAAAUCCGGGUACCUAGUUACAACUGGUACUUUUGUCCUGUUGAGGCCUCAUGAUUAUCAACAACUGUAACUAAAGCUUAGUUUUCAGUAGCCCCAGGACACCUGCUCCUGGCAAAGCUCUGGACCCUCCUUCCACGGGGCUCCUGCAGGACUCCAGAC
ensembl:lncRNA